rnacentral:rRNA from 1 species
GACGUAGGUGGCGAACGUUUAUCCGGAAUUAUUGGGCGUAAAGGGUGCGUAGGUGGCCUGACAAGUUAUCAGUGGCAAAUCGAGGCUCAACCUCGUGGAAACUGGUAAUACUGUUCGGCUUGAGUACAGGAGAGGUUAACGGAACUCUAUGUGGAGCGGUAAAAUGCACAGAUAUAUGGAAGAACAUCAAUAAAGGCGAAGGCAGUUAACUAUUCUGUUACUGACGCUGAGGCACGAAAGCGUGGGGAGCAAACAGG